GACGAACGCUGGCGGCGUGCUUAACACAUGCAAGUCGAGCGGUAAGGCCCUUUCGGGGGUACGACGAGCGGCGAACGGGUGAGUAACACGUGGGUGACCUGCCCUUAGCUCUGGGAUAAGCCUGGGAAACGUAGGGUCGUAAUACCGGAUAUGACUCCAUGACGCAUGUUGUGGGGUGGAAAGCCUUGUGCGGCUAGGGAUGGGCCCGCGGCCUAUCAGCUUGUUGGUGGGGUGAUGGCCUACCAAGGCGACGACGGGUAGCCGGCCUGAGAGGGCG
rnacentral:rRNA from 1 species